GUUUCUCACUAAUUCACAGCUGAUAUUGAAAUUACAUAAAUAUGGUACAACGUUAGCUCAUUUUUGGUCGAAAACAAUUGUGAAAAUCUCGAAUUUCUUCCCUUUCAUAUUCGUAAUUUGUAACGUGCGAUGGCAACGAAUCAACAACAAACACCUCAAUUCAAGGCGAGCUCUGUGAUCCUGGCCGGACUUGGAGUGGCCGCCGUGGGAUUCGCCGGCAAGCACCUGAUGCGCCGCAUGCCCCAGAUGACCACCAAAUUCAACGAGGCGCUCAAGAGCAUGCCCAAGUUCGAUGCGGAAAGCAUGGCGGCGUCCAAAUACUACAAGGGCGGCUUCGAUCCCAAGAUGAACAAGCGCGAGGCGGCCCUCAUUCUAGGCGUCAGUCCCAGUGCCACCAAGCAGAAGGUUAAAGACGCGCACAAGAAGAUUAUGCUGCUGAAUCAUCCGGAUCGAGGAGGUUCUCCCUAUUUGGCGGCCAAGAUCAACGAGGCCAAAGACUUUUUGGACAAUGCUAAGUAGUACUCAUCUUACUCCUUCCUCGAGUGUAAAUAAAGUAGUUUGUGAUUAGUGCAUCCCAGUCCAAACCCCAGAUCUACGUGGUCCGGAUUACAUUGGCAAUGGUAUCUCCAGCAGAUAAUGAAAUGUAUUCUGCACACUAACUGCUCCCC